CGACUGCAUGACGUCUACGAAAAAUGUACAUGCAAAAAAUCUAGUCAACUCUGAUUCAAAAUUGUCUUCAAACUACUGACUGGAAAAUACAAAUACAAAUACAAGACCAUAUCCCACUAAAAUACAUAGAAUAAAAAAAAAUGAAAAAAUGAUGAAGGAUAUAUCCACGAAUGUACAUAAUAUAGUGUGACUGACAUUACGAUUUGUCCACUUACAAUAAACAGUCCGCACGCCAACAUCUCUCAUAUAUCUAUGUCAGCUUGGCUCAGUAGGGUAAGAUAAGAGUUCUAAAUGAUAUGGAGUUUUCAUGUACCACAAAUAUUAAUUGAAUUGUCAACAAAUUGUAUAAUUCUUUUUCCAUGUCUACCUACCUACUCAUGGAUUUACCCAACAGGAGACUACCCCAGGCAACUAACAAAAUCGGCGAAAUCGGAACUGUGGAAGUAUGCGCUGUAUUUUAAGCUCAUUGGAAGUGUGUUGUGGUACAUUGGAAAUCCAAAGAAGAAGGCACAUCCGAGGCGGUGCAUUUUCACGGAAGAAGAAAAGGAGCAGGUUUUAACUUGCCCUGAAAGAGAAACAGGAAUUGCACCAGAUCGGAAACCCAGCCCUCCCAACAAUAACACCACCGCACGAAGCUGACGUUGAAGAAAAUAUUAAAAAGAUGAAAGUUGGCCAUCGUCGUAAUGUUCAUCGUCGAAGUUCUUCGUCGUAUUGAGAGAAAGAUUGGAAGGAAAGGUGCAUGGCUCGGUCCUUACAUUAUAGCUAGCAUCGUAAAUAGUUGUGCAAUGUUAAAAGGUAGUACGUAUUAUGUAGGAUGUAUUAAAAUUUAGUAAUGUAAUGUAAUGUAAUGUAGUAAAAUGUAGGAUGUAUUAAAAUGUAAAGUGAAUUAAAGUUAAAGGAUGCACAUCAUGUAAAAGCAGUAAAUAAAAGAAAAGCUAGUUUUGGUGUCGAGGAACACAAUACGCCCAGUUUUAACGCAGCUGUCAGUUGCUUCUGUCAGGAAGUGAUAAAUUAAAUGAAGGUGCCGUCGUUGUUAAAUGUAGAAAAUGUAGUGAGGAAGUGAUAGAAGUAGCAAAUAGACCCCCCCAAUUCAGUAAAAAAGGCCGGGAAAGUAAACAUUGGCUCAGUUCAACUAGAAAAUCAGAAAUUUGAAUCAAUUCUGGAAGGGUCAUGGUUGGCGAGUGAUCACUUAGAUUAUGCAUCUAGAUUGUUGAAAGAGGCUUAUGCAGGCAUUAAUGGGUUUAUGUCUGUUCUUCUUGCGCAGACUCAAUCAAGUUUCACUCAGGUUGUGGGACAGUUCAUUCAGCCACUCCUGUUUGUGGAAAUCAAUGCAGGUAUAUGACACUGCCAGGUCGUAAAGCACCAGACAGCCUUUUUAACCAGGUUGCUGCACUUCUGCGCACUACAAAAAAGGAUAUAACUAUCGAGUCCAUACCAGUCAUCGAGCCAUCGAGUCAUAUGCAUCGCCAAGAUGGUGGAAAUGACUGUGGAGCUUUUGCAAUUGCAAUCAGUUCACAGAGUCUGUUUGGCCAAUAGAGUAAAUCCUGCACAAGUCUUUUUCAGGCAAUCCGAAAUGCGCCAACAUUUGUAUAAUUGUUUCAAAAACAAAACUCACACCUUUUCCUGUGUGUGACAGAACUCGCCAAAUUCCAAAAUUGGUUCAUUGUUUGUGGACUGAGUUUGUAUACUGUGUGUGCAGGCUUCCAGAAAAGAAAGGGGUGCCAAUGGUUGAAUGUUGGAUAUGUAAGGAUAAUUGUUAUUUCUUAUAAUAUGUUGUUGAAUUUGACUUAAACGUUAUAAUAUAUUUCGAAAGUGUAUAUUAAGAUUUAAAAUUGUAGUUACUAAUUUUGCUGAGCUUGUAUUCCUGCAUGUAUGUCUGUCAUGUCAAUGUAGAGUGUCUGAA